rnacentral:rRNA from 1 species
UCAGGAAUUUUGGGCAAUGGGCGAAAGCCUGACCCAGCAACGCCGCGUGAGGGAUGAAGUAUUUCGGUAUGUAAACCUCGAAAGAAUGGGAAGAAUAAAUAACGGUACCAUUUAUAAGCUCCGGCUAACUACGUGCCAGCAGCCGCGGUAAUACGUAGGGAGCAAGCGUUGUUCGGAUUUACUGGGCGUAAAGGGCGCGUAGGCGGCGCGGUAAGUCACUUGUGAAAUCUCUGAGCUUAACUCAGAACGGCCAAGUGAUACUGCUGUGCUAGAGUGCGGAAGAGGCAACCGGAAUUCUUGGUGUAGCGGUGAAAUGCGUAGAUAUCAAGAGGAACACCUGAGGCGAAGGCGGGUUGCUGGGCCGACACUGACGCUGAUGCGCGAAAGCCAGGGGAGCAAACG